UACGGGGGGAGCAAGCGUUGUUCGGAUUUACUGGGCGUAAAGGGCGCGUAGGCGGCCAGCACAAGUCAGUUGUGAAAUCUCCGAGCUUAACUCGGAAAGGUCAACUGAUACUGUGCGGCUAGAGUGCGGAAGGGGCAACUGGAAUUCCUGGUGUAGCGGUGAAAUGCGCAGAUAUCAGGAGGAACACCGAUGGCGAAGGCAGGUCUCUGGGCAUUAACUGACGCUGAGGAGCGAAAGCAUGGGGAGCGAACAGG
rnacentral:rRNA from 1 species